UACAGAGGGGGCAAGCGUUAUUCGGAAUUAUUGGGCGUAAAGGGCGCGUAGGCGGCUUGGCAAGUGGUUGGUGAAAUCCCUCGGCUUAACCGAGGAACUGCCGUCCAAACUGCUUCGCUUGAGACCGGGAGAGGUGAGUGGAAUUCCCAGUGUAGCGGUGAAAUGCGUAGAUAUUGGGAGGAACACCAGUGGCGAAGGCGGCUCACUGGACCGGUACUGACGCUGAUGCGCGAAAGCGUGGGGAGCAAACGGG
rnacentral:rRNA from 1 species